rnacentral:rRNA from 1 species
UACGUAGGGUGCGAGCGUUGUCCGGAAUUAUUGGGCGUAAAGAGCUUGUAGGCGGUUUGUCGCGUCUGCUGUGAAAUUUCGGGGCUCAACCCCGAACUUGCAGUGGGUACGGGCAGACUAGAGUGUGGUAGGGGAGACUGGAAUUCCUGGUGUAGCGGUGAAAUGCGCAGAUAUCAGGAGGAACACCGAUGGCGAAGGCAGGUCUCUGGGCCACUACUGACGCUGAGGAGCGAAAGUGUGGGGAGCGAACAGG